UACAGGGGGGGCAAGCGUUGUUCGGAAUUACUGGGCGUAAAGGGCUCGUAGGCGGCCAACUAAGUCCGACGUGAAAUCCCCAAGCUUAACUUGGGAACUGCGUCGGAUACUGGAUGGCUUGAAUUCGGGAGAGGGAUGCAGAAUUCCAGGUGUAGCGGUGAAAUGCGUAGAUAUCAGGAGGAACACCGGUGGCGAAGGCGCACAUCUGGCCCGAUACUGACGCUGAAGCGCGAAAGCUAGGGGAGCAAACGGG
rnacentral:rRNA from 1 species